rnacentral:lncRNA from 1 species
UCAUCUCUUUUUAAUGCUUUUCUUGAACCCCGAAAAUUUUCUAUUUUUUGUUUUCUUGAACCCCGAAAUUUUCCUUCGCGCAAAUGAUCCCGGAUCACUGCAUUUGAACCCCGACAUCUUAUUUGCCAAAAUAAUGAACCCCAUUCUCCAUUUGAACCCCAGUCGCCUGACGAUAACUUGCGAUCGCCAUUGUGAACCCCGUUCUCCAGAAAAU